rnacentral:lncRNA from 1 species
AGGCCUUCAACAUAAGGUCUUUCCCAACUUGGGAUAAAGUUCUUUUUGUAUGGGAAGGAUCUUCUUCAAUACCAGGUUCCUUUCAAGGAGUUCUCUAGGGCGGAUCCUUUUUUUUUGUGAGCUCGCAUCAUUUGCUUUUGGCGCAUUUGACCAUGAUGGAUAACUUUGAACAAUCCUCUUCAAUCGGAAUUGGAUCCAAAAACUCAGAGAAAGAAUCUUGUCUUCAAUAGGCGAAACUGCGAUGGGCCCAAGAGAAAGGUAUUGCCCCGGCAGAGGUUUUUUUUUGGGCAAUAUGACA